rnacentral:rRNA from 1 species
CGGUAAUUCCAGCUCCAAUAGCGUAUACUAAAGUUGUUGCAGUUAAAAAGCUCGUAGUUGGAUUUCUGCGGGGACGGAGCGGCCGGUCACAACUUGCGACUCGAGCUAGCGCUUUCCCCGCAUCCUGCCGCGAACCGUGCUACCAUUAGCUUGGUGGCGCUGGGGAUCGGCUCGAUUACUUUGAGAAAAAUAGAGUGUUCAAAGCAGGCCACACGCCUUGAAUAAGUUAGCAUGGAAUAAUGACUAAGGACUUCGGUUCUAUUUUGUUGGUGUUCGGGACUGAAGUAAUGAUUGAUAGGGACAGUUGGGGCGGUCUGUAUUCCAAAGCGAGAGGUGAAAUUCUUAGACCUUCGGAAGACAAACAGCUGCGAAAGCGUUCCGCAAGGAUGUUCCCUUUGAUCAAGAACGAAAGUUGGGGGAUCGAAGACGAUCAGAUACCGUCGUAGUCUCAACUAUAAACUAUACCAGCUAGGGAUCGGUCAACGUUUAAUCAUUCGACUUGAUCGGCACCUUAUGAGAAAUCAAAGCAUCUGGGUUCCGGGGGGAGUAUGGUCGCAAGGCUGAAACUUAAAGGAAUUGACGGAAGGGCACCACCAGCCGUGGAGCCUGUGGCUUAAUUUGACUCAACACGGGAAAACUUACCAGGUCCAGACAUAGUAAGGAUUGACAGAUUGAUAGCUCUUUCUUGAUUCUGUGGGUGGUGGUGCAUGGCCGUUCUUAGUUGGUGGAGUGAUUUGUCUGGUUAAUUCCGUUAACGAACGAGACCCCAGCCUGCUAAAUAGCGCGGCUGAGCUUUGCUCGGUGCGAGCUUCUUAGAGGGACUAUGAUGCGCGAUAGCACAUGGAAGUUUGGGGCAAUAACAGGUCUGUGAUGCCCUUAGAUGUUCUGGGCCGCACACGGGCUACACUGGCGCCUGCAACGAGCAUAUCAGCUGGCCCGAGAGGGUCUUGGCUAAUCUUUUGAACCGGCGCCGUGCUUGGGAUUGACCAUUGCAGUUGUUGGUCAUGCAACGAGGAAUGCCUUGUAAACGCGAGUCAUCAGCUCGCAUUGAAUACGUCCCUGCCCUUUGUACACACCGCCCGUCGCUCCUACCGAUGAAUGUUCCGAUGAAAUUUUCGGAGAGCGCCAGAGAACGGGGCUCUGCCUUGCAGAUCUGGAGGCUCAAAGUCACUUAAAUCUGAACAUUUCGAGGAAGGAGAAGUCGUAACAAGGUAGCCG